UACGAGGGGGGCGAGCGUUGUUCGGAAUUAUUGGGCGUAAAGGGUGCGUAGGCGGUUCCGCAAGUCCUGUGUGAAAUCUUCGGGCUCAACUCGAAGUCUGCACGAGAAACUAUCUGGCUUGAGUGUGGGAGAGGUGAGUGGAGUUCCUGGUGUAGCGGUGAAAUGCGUAGAUAUCAGGAGGAACACCUGUGGCGAAAGCGGCUCACUGGACCACAACUGACGCUGAGGCGCGAAAGCUAGGGGAGCAAACAGG
rnacentral:rRNA from 1 species